rnacentral:rRNA from 1 species
AUUGAACGCUGGCGGCAGGCCUAACACAUGCAAGUCGAGCGGGGUUUUCGGACCUAGCGGCGGACGGGUGAGUAAUGCGUAGGAAGCUACCCGAUAGAGGGGGAUACCAGUUGGAAACGACUGUUAAUACCGCAUAAUGUCUACGGACCAAAGUGUGGGACCUUCGGGCCACAUGCUAUCGGAUGCGCCUACGUGGGAUUAGCUAGUUGGUGAGGUAAUGGCUCACCAAGGCGACGAUCCCUAGCUGGUUUGAGAGGAUGAUCAGCCACACUGGAACUGAGACACGGUCCAGGCUCCUACGGGAGGCAGCAGUGGGGAAUAUUGGACAAUGGGCGCAAGCCUGAUCCAGCCAUGCCGCGUGUGUGAAGAAGGCCUUCGGGUUGUAAAGCACUUUCAGUAGGGAGGAAGCGUUGUGUGUUAAUAGUACACAGCGUUGACGUUACCUACAGAAGAAGCACCGGCUAACUCUGUGCCGGCCGCCGCAGUAAGAC